rnacentral:lncRNA from 12 species
CAAUUACAGGAGUGAAUGUCUAGCAGUUCUGCACCCAUGCUCUGCUUCAAAUCAGGCACCAGAAAUAUAGAACACACAUCCAACAACCACAUAUACAAAGGUCAAGGAUUUCAGCCUUCAACAGCACUGGGGUUCUAGAUUUUCAUGUUGGAUAUCUGGGAGCUGGGAACAACACAGAGUUAUCUCCAAAGCAGACCCUGAGAGCAGGACUGAUCAGCAGAGCAGACCAGGAAAUGAUGCAUCGCUGAG